UACGUAGGGUGCAAGCGUUGUCCGGAAUUAUUGGGCGUAAAGAGCUCGUAGGCGGUCUGUCGCGUCGGCUGUGAAAACCCGGAGCUCAACUCCGGGCCUGCAGUCGAUACGGGCAGACUGGAGUUCGGCAGGGGAGACUGGAAUUCCUGGUGUAGCGGUGAAAUGCGCAGAUAUCAGGAGGAACACCGGUGCGAAGGCGGGUCUCUGGGCCGAUACUGACGCUGAGGAGCGAAAGCGUGGGGAGCGAACAGG
rnacentral:rRNA from 1 species